GAUGAACGCUGGCGGCGUGCCUAAUACAUGCAAGUCGAGCGAACGGACGAGAAGCUUGCUUUUCUGAUGUUAGCGGCGGACGGGUGAGUAACACGUGGAUAACCUACCUAUAAGACUGGGAUAACUUCGGGAAACCGGAGCUAAUACCGGAUAAUAUUUUGAACCGCAUGGUUCAAAAGUGAAAGACGGUCUUGCUGUCACUUAUAGAUGGUUCCGCGCUGCAUUAGCUAGUUGGUAAGGUAACGGCUUAUCAAGGCAACGAUGCAUAGCCGACGUGAGGGGGGGAUCGCCGACCCGGGAGGUGAGACAGGGACCAGAGUCUUGCGAGAGGCAGCAGUAGGGAAUCUUCCGCAAUGGGGGGAAGCCUGACGGAGCGGGGCGGCGUGAGAUGUGAAGGUCUUGGGAGCGUAAAGCUCUGUUAUUAGGGAAGAACAUAUGUGUAAGUAAAUGAGCACAGCUUGACGGUACCUAAUCAGAAAGCCACGGCUAACUACGUG
rnacentral:rRNA from 1 species